ACUAGAAACUGGAGAAAAAAAUACCUGGUCUUUAUGUUGCAGAAAGCCAAUGAAUUUUUCUUUCUGGAUCGGACGUGGCUUCUUUCUCUGCAUUCUUUCCUUCAUCAGGAAUUCACUGAGCGGUUCUUAUUGAUGACCUCUGACUCAUGCAAGACGAAAAGCAGACCUGAUAUUUAAGGCGGGCUGCAGAGCGGCUGACGGCGGCCAAGCAGACGAAGCUGGGCUGCAGCUGUGUGUCCUGACGUUCAACUCCUGCUUAGAUCCAGA